rnacentral:lncRNA from 1 species
AUGCAUCUGACUCCAGGACUGGGGGAGGCGGGGUGGGGGUGGGGAAGGCGCGGCGCGGCCGAGGAAUCCCGAGUCCCGGCCGGGCUUGUGCGGGAUGCACUGUGGCUCAAGCCUUUCCUACACCUCUCGGUCCUCAAAGACCAGCUGGCGCUGGUUUCUGACUCAUCGACAAUCACACACACACAGGCACGCGCGCGCGCACACACACACACACACACACACACACACACACACACACACACACGCAGGCACCCGGACGCCCGCUCCUGGAGACCUGGAGUUUGCAGAGCCGGAGGGGUGGUUGGCUCUCGGCAAAUCUGGAGCCAGCACGCGAAGGCACGGAGAGCACCCGAACCCCACCAGACAAGGCAGGGUGGCCUGGAGAAAGCACCCAGCGCCGGCCUCGGGCAGCGGGGCCCCCCUCGAGCUGCCCAAACCCGGCGCUCGCCCGACCACCUCGGCAGUUCCUCCAAGUUUCUACUCACAGCGGGGCCUCCGCUUUCCCAGCUGCCUCACCCUGAACCUCCAACUUCGUGCCCCCGGGCCGCCCCCCGCCCCUCCGCCUUCCUUAGCUCCGCGCCCGGUCAGGGACCCGCGCGCUUCCCUGGAGCUGCCCAUAUGCCCCCACCCGCGGCGGCGGCCCGGCAGUCUGGCCAGAGCUCGCCGCCGUCUCCCGCUGCUGCUGCCGCGGCGACAGGAGCCUCUGUGAGGCUCCCGGGCCCCUCUUAUGUAUUAUUCACUCGAUGGCCACGGCGCUUUCUGGAAAGCCCAUGCCAGAGACGCGAGGUCUUCGCCCGGAGACUACGAAUUCGGCGAUUUCAGCUUUUUGGAAACUGGGGGUGCUGCGGGGGCGGCGGAGCUCAUUUUUCAGUUGUUUUGCUUUGCGGGGUUGGCUUUUUUUUUUUUUUUUUUUGCCCGGAGCUCGCAGGAGCGCGCUGUCCCCCGGGCCCAAGAAGGAGCGCGCCAGAGCCGGCGAGUGCGGCGGGCAGCCGGGCUAGCCGCCGUGGCUGGCGAGCGAGCUGGUAA